GACAGCAUGGCCGAGUGGUUAAGGYGUUUGACUCGAAUCCCARGGRGGUAUCAAAUGGACUUUGUCCGCGCAGGUUCAAAUCCUGCUGCUGUCG
rfam:Brettanomyces bruxellensis AWRI1499 AWRI1499_contig2978_scaffold64, whole genome shotgun sequence.